rnacentral:rRNA from 1 species
UACGGAGGGGGCAAGCGUUAUCCGGAUUUACUGGGUGUAAAGGGGGCGCAGACGGCAAUGCAAGCCAGGAGUGAAAGCCCGGGGCCCAACCCCGGGACUGCUCUUGGAACUGCAUGGCUGGAGUACAGGAGGGGCAGGCGGAAUUCCUAGUGUAGCGGUGAGAUGCGUAGAUAUUAGGAGGAACACCGGCGGCGAAGGCGGCCUGCUGGACCGAAACUGACGUUGAGGCUCGAAAGCGUGGGGAGCAAACAGG